GUUGCCUUUGCCGAGUGCUUAAGGCGAUAGACUAGAAAUCUUUUGGGAUUUUCCCGCGCAGAUUCGAAUCCUUACGACAACG
rnacentral:tRNA from 1 species